GACGAACGCUGGCGGCGUGCCUAAUACAUGCAAGUAGAACGCUGAAGAGAGGAGCUUACUCUUCUUGGAUGAGUUGCGAACGGGUGAGUAACGCGUAGGUAACCUGCCUUGUAGCGGGGGAUAACUAUUGGAAACGAUAGCUAAUACCGCAUAACAAUGGAUGACACAUGUCAUUUAUUUGAAAGGGGCAAUUGCUCCACUACAAGAUGGACCUGCGUUGUAUUAGCUAGUAGGUGAGGUAAUGGCUCACCUAGGCGACGAUACAUAGCCGACCUGAGAGGGUGAUCGGCCACACUGGGACUGAGACACGGCCCAGACUCCUACGGGAGGCAGCAGUAGGGAAUCUUCGGCAAUGGGGGCAACCCUGACCGAGCAACGCCGCGUGAGUGAAGAAGGUUUUCGGAUCGUAAAGCUCUGUUGUAAGUCAAGAACGGGUGUGAGAGUGGAAAGUUCACACUGUGACGGUAGCUUACCAGAAAGGGACGGCUAACUACGUGCCAGCAGCCGCGGUAAUACGUAGGUCCCGAGCGUUGUCCGGAUUUAUUGGGCGUAAAGCGAGCGCAGGCGGUUUGAUAAGUCUGAAGUUAAAGGCUGUGGCUCAACCAUAGUUCGCUUUGGAAACUGUCAAACUUGGGUGCAGAAGGGGAGAGUGGAAUUCCAUGUGUAGCGGUGAAAUGCGUAGAUAUAUGGAGGAACACCGGUGGCGGAAGCGGCUCUCUGGUCUGUAACUGACGCUGAGGCUCGAAAGCGUGGGGAGCGAACAGGAUUAGAUACCCUGGUAGUCCACGCCGUAAACGAUGAGUGCUAGGUGUUGGAUCCUUUCCGGGAUUCAGUGCCGCAGCUAACGCAUUAAGCACUCCGCCUGGGGAGUACGACCGCAAGGUUGAAACUCAAAGGAAUUGACGGGGGCCCGCACAAGCGGUGGAGCAUGUGGUUUAAUUCGAAGCAACGUGAAGAACCUUACCAGGUCUUGACAUCCCGAUGCUAUUUCUAGAGAUAGAAAGUUACUUCGGUACAUCGGUGACAGGUGGUGCAUGGUUGUCGUCAGCUCGUGUCGUGAGAUGUUGGGUUAAGUCCCGCAACGAGCGCAACCCCUAUUGUUAGUUGCCAUCAUUCAGUUGGGCACUCUAGCGAGACUGCCGGUAAUAAACCGGAGGAAGGUGGGGAUGACGUCAAAUCAUCAUGCCCCUUAUGACCUGGGCUACACACGUGCUACAAUGGUUGGUACAACGAGUUGCGAGUCGGUGACGGCGAGCUAAUCUCUUAAAGCCAAUCUCAGUUCGGAUUGUAGGCUGCAACUCGCCUACAUGAAGUCGGAAUCGCUAGUAAUCGCGGAUCAGCACGCCGCGGUGAAUACGUUCCCGGGCCU
rnacentral:rRNA from 1 species